UACAGAGGUCUCAAGCGUUGUUCGGAUUCAUUGGGCGUGAAGGGUGUGUAGGUGGCGCCGUAAGUCGGGUGUGAAAUUUCGGAGCUUAACUCCGAAACUGCAUUCGAUACUGCCGUGCUUGAGGACUGGAGAGGAGACUGGAAUUUACGGUGUAGCGGUGAAAUGCGUAGAUAUCGUAAGGAAGACCAGUGGCGAAGGCGGGUCUCUGGACAGUUCCUGACGCUGAGGCACGAAGGUCAGGGGAGCAAACGGG
rnacentral:rRNA from 1 species